rnacentral:tRNA from 1 species
GCUUCUAAAGGAUAAUAGUUAUCCACUGGUCUUAGGAACCAGGAACUCUUGGUGCAACUCCAAGUAGUAGCU